rnacentral:misc_RNA from 1 species
AUCGCGGAUCAGCAUGCCGCGGUGAAUACGUUUCCGGGCCUUGUUCACACCGCCCGUCACACCACGAGAGUUUGUAACACCCGAAGUCGGUGAGGUAACCUUUUGGAGCCAGCCGCCGAAGGUGGGAUAGAUGAUUGGGGUGAAGUCGUAACAAGGUAGCCGUAUCGGAAGGUGCGGCUGGAUCACCUCCUUUCUAAGGAUAUUUUCGGAAUACAAACCUUGGGUUUGUAAGAUUACGUUUUGCGUUCAGUUUUGAAGGUUCAUUCUUCUGAAUGAAAUACUUCAAAACUUGUUCUUUGAAAACUGGAUAAAACGACAUUGAAAUAGUAACAAACACAUUUAUUUUUUUAAGUUUUUUAUAGGCUUAAUAACAUUAAAAGGUUUCAAGACACGAGCAGUUAAAUGCGAUGUGUAUUGAAAGCUGAUAGGUUAAGUUAUAAGGGCGCAC